rnacentral:rRNA from 1 species
AUUGAACGCUGGCGGCAGGCCUAACACAUGCAAGUCGAACGGUAACAGGAAGAAGCUUGCUUCUUUGCUGACGAGUGGUGGACGGGUGAGUAAUGUCUGGGAAACUGCCUGAUGGAGGGGGAUAACUACUGGAAACGGUAGCUAAUACCGCAUAACGUCGCAAGACCAAAGAGGGGGACCUUCGGGCCUCUUGCCAUCGGAUGUGCCCAGAUGGGAUUAGCUAGUAGGUGGGGUAACGGCUCACCUAGGCGACGAUCCCUAGCUGGUCUGAGAGGAUGACCAGCCACACUGGAACUGAGACACGGUCCAGACUCCUACGGGAGGCAGCAGUGGGGAAUAUUGCACAAUGGGCGCAAGCCUGAUGCAGCCAUGCCGCGUGUAUGAAGAAGGCCUUCGGGUUGUAAAGUACUUUCAGCGGGGAGGAAGGGAGUAAAGUUAAUACCUUUGCUCAUUGACGUUACCCGCAGAAGAAGCACCGGCUAACUCCGUGCCAGCAGCCGCGGUAAUACGGAGGGCGCAAGCGUUAAUCGGAAUUACUGGGCGUAAAGCGCACGCAGGCGGUUUGUUAAGUCAGAUGUGAAAUCCCCGGGCUCAACCUGGGAACUGCAUCUGAUACUGGCAAGCUUGAGUCUCGUAGAGGGGGGUAGAAUUCCAGGUGUAGCGGUGAAAUGCGCAGAGAUCUGGAGGAAUACCGGUGGCGAAGGCGGCCCCCUGGACGAAGACUGACGCUCAGGUGCGAAAGCGUGGGGAGCAAACAGGAUUAGAUACCCUGGUAGUCCACGCCGUAAACGAUGUCGACUUGGAGGUUGUGCCCUUGAGGCGUGGCUUCCGGAGCUAACGCGUUAAGUCGACCGCCUGGGGAGUACGGCCGCAAGGUUAAAACUCAAAUGAAUUGACGGGGGCCCGCACAAGCGGUGGAGCAUGUGGUUUAAUUCGAUGCAACGCGAAGAACCUUACCUGGUCUUGACAUCCACAGAACUUUCCAGAGAUGGAUUGGUGCCUUCGGGAACUGUGAGACAGGUGCUGCAUGGCUGUCGUCAGCUCGUGUUGUGAAAUGUUGGGUUAAGUCCCGCAACGAGCGCAACCCUUAUCUUUUGUUGCCAGCGGUCCGGCCGGGAACUCAAAGGAGACUGCCAGUGAUAAACUGGAGGAAGGUGGGGAUGACGUCAAGUCAUCAUGGCCCUUACGACCAGGGCUACACACGUGCUACAAUGGCGCAUACAAAGAGAAGCGACCUCGCGAGAGCAAGCGGACCUCAUAAAGUGCGUCGUAGUCCGGAUUGGAGUCUGCAACUCGACUCCAUGAAGUCGGAAUCGCUAGUAAUCGUGGAUCAGAAUGCCACGGUGAAUACGUUCCCGGGCCU